AUCUCCUUUUGUAAUAGAGCCAUGUUCUGUGUUUUUUGUUUUUGUUUUUUUACAGAGCAUGUGAUCAGGAGAGAGGGGCAGAGGAAGAGAGAGAAUCUUAGGCUCCACUUUCAGCACGAAGCCUGAUACAGUGCUUGGGGCUUGAUCCCACAACCCUGGGAUCACCACCUGGGCCAAAAUCAAGAGUUGGAUGCUCAACCGACUGAGCCACCCUAUAUGACCCCAAGCCAUAUUGUUUCUUAUGCUUCUAGGACAAAAGUAUAUUGAACACUUCUUAUUUUGAGAAAGUUGAAGGUUUUGUAAAGGCUUUUUACAUUUUUUUAGAUUGGCAAAAUUUGAGCCACAUGAUGUUCCUGCCAUGUAUUUUUUAUGCAAAGAGGAGGUUUGGUAUCAUUAUGCUUUGCAACUCUUAAUCCAGAAUUUGAUAGGGAUCAGCAUCACAAGGAUAAGACUACUUUGACUAUUUUUAGGCCAAUCUUAUGUAGAGCACUUUGGCAGGCUGGGAAUUUUUUGUUAUUUUACCUACUGGCAUACUACUUUAUGCUGGAGGACAUAUUUCAGAAGACUUUUUUUUCCUUAUCCAUGACUCCCCAUUCUUGAUGGAGUGGGUAAGAAACUGGAUUAUUAGAGAGCUGUUAGUAGCAUGGAAUUAAACAUUGAGGUUUAUUUUAUCCAAGCCAGGAUUGAACCUGAGUAUUCUGAUAUCAUGGUAUGUACCUUCUUGGUAAUUACAGAGGCUAUUUCUGCCUCUUUGAUUGUAUCUCAUAGUCAUGAUUACAUUUAAUAAUCUUGCUUUCCAGGUUUUUGCCUAGAGUUCACAGUUAACACUGAUUUUUACCAAUUUGCCCUGGCACUUAGUCAUCCUGUUUUUUAGUUUUUGGGUUUUUUUUAAACAUGUUUAAUAUUGGAUCUUCCUGUUGACAGCAGUAACAUAUUUUCAGAUUAUGUUUAUAGAAUUGAUUAUUUUACUAGCCAACUAACCUAACCCCACCUCUAGGGUAUGGAUUCUGGUCAAGUCAGUCAACAUUCUUCAUAACCUUUCCUCUUUUUCCUGACCUUUGGUUAAAAAUCUCUUCCCAAGCUAUUUACUAUAAUAAAUAAUGACAACAUGGUUCUAGUGCCUGCUAUAGGCAAAGGCUAACGUAAAUAGUUGGGUUAGAAGAAAUGAAUAAUCAUGGAAUGCCACUUCUGUAACACAUAGUGUGCUAAACUGCCAGUGUAUUUCGUGUGGUCCUCAUACAUAAAAUCCCAUCUUCCAGAGUAGAAAACUAGAACUCCUUGAGGUUGAAAAACCUUAAUCUGUUAAGGGCCAGGGAUUCUAGAUUCAAACUGGUCUGAUUUGCUUAGUAUUCCUUAUCAGUGUAUGGUACUACCUUUCUCUAUUGGAAAUAGUCUUUAAGGAAAUUAAUCUGACUACAGGAUCCCAGAUGGGUUCCAGGGAUGGAGAAAUUUGAAGUUCUUUUGCAGUAGUUCAGACAUGAGGUAUGGGGUGAUUUGGUGUAGAGUGAUGGCAAUCAAAAUGGAAAGAAGCGAAAGGACUCAAUAACUGACCAUGUCAAUUGCUGAGAACUGUCUCAGCACACUUCUUAAGGAAGCCUACCUUGGUGCCCUCAGCUCUGCUACAUUGGGUCUCUCACUUGAAUGUUGUCACAGCACUUCUGACCAUUAUAAUUAAGUUACUAAUUGUGUGAUUCGAGUUUUCCCCCACCUUUUUAGAUUGCUCCUUGAGGACAGGACAGUGCUUUUUUCUGGCUGUGUCCUUGUUGCGUAAAGAGGCCUUCAGGGUCAAAACUUUCCUAAUACUGAGAUGAUGUUAUUUACCUUUUUAGCUCAUUCUCACAAGUGUGCAGGGGUUAUACAAUGUGUGAUGACCUCACUGAUACUAAUCAAAGGGUGCUAUAUAUAUUGAAUUAUCUAGAAUUUCUUAAGGCGGUGUAUUUAGGGUGUGAAUGUUUACAUUUGUAGAAAUUAGUUUUUAGGUUAUACCUUCUACAAUCCCAGCAACCCCCAGUAUUGUGCAAUUGUUAUUUUGAAAUCCUGUAAUUUUUGUUUUGCCUAAGCAUAAAUGUAAGUACUUUCUGUUGCUGCAAUGUUUUAAAUAUUUCCUUAAAACUCCUAAAUUUUUAUAUCUAAAUACAACUUUUUUUUUUUUUAAUUUUUUUUUUUUUUUUCAACAUUUAUUUAUUUUUGGGACAGAGAGAGACAGAGCAUGAACGGGGGAGGGUCAGAGAGAGAGGGAGACACAGAAUCGGAAACAGGCUCCAGGCUCUGAGCCAUCAGCCCAGAGCCUGAUGCGGGGCUCGAACUCACGGACCGCGAGAUCGUGACCUGGCUGAAGUCGGACGCUUAACCGACUGCGCCACCCAGGCGCCCCUAAAUACAACUUUUUAAGAGUAACUUUAUUCUAAAACUAAUUAUAUGUACAUAUAUAUAUAUAUUUUUUUUUUUUUUGAGAGAGAGAGCACGUGUGCAAGUGUGGGAGUGUCACAGAGGGAAAGAGAAUCCCAAGCAGGCUCCACACUGUCAGCACAGAGCCCUACACGAACUGCAAGAUGAUGACCUGAGCCAAGAUGAAGAGUCAGACGCUUAACCGACUGAGUCACCCAGGCACCCCUGUAUUUUUUAAAGAAUGGGUCACUGGGUUUAAAA
rnacentral:lncRNA from 1 species